rnacentral:rRNA from 1 species
GACGAACGCUGGCGGCGUGCUUAACACAUGCAAGUCGUACGGUAAGGCCCUUUCGGGGGUACACGAGUGGCGAACGGGUGAGUAACACGUGAGUAACCUGCCCACAACUUUGGGAUAACGCUAGGAAACUGGUGCUAAUACUGGAUAUGUGCUCCUUCUGCAUGGUGGGGGUUGGAAAGCUCCGGCGGGUGUGGAUGGACUCGCGGCCUAUCAGCUUGUUGGUGGGGUAGUGGCCUACCAAGGCGGCGACGGGUAGCCGGCCUGGGAGGGUGACCGGCCACAUUGGGACUGAGAUACGGCCCAGACUCCUACGGGAGGCAGCAGUGGGGAAUAUUGCACAAUGGGCGCAAGCCGGAUGCAGCAACGCCGCGUGCGGGAUGACGGCCUUCGGGUUGUAAACCGCUUUCAGCAGGGACGAAGCUUUUUGUGACGGUACCUGCAGAAGAAGCACCGGCUAACUACGUG